rnacentral:rRNA from 1 species
GCACGUUAUGGUGGGCACUCUAAGGAGACUGCCGGUGACAAACCGGACGGAAGGUGGGGAGUGACGUCAAGUCAUCAUGGCCCUUACGGCCUGGGCUACACACGUGCUACAAUGGUCGGUACAAAGGGUUGCCAAGCCGCGAGGUGGAGCUAAUCCCAUAAAACCGAUCGUAGUCCGGAUCGCAGUCUGCAACUCGACUGCGUGAAGUCGGAAUCGCUAGUAAUCGUGAAUCAGAAUGUCACGGUGAAUACGUUCCCGGGCCUU